GACGAACGCUGGCGGCGUGCUUAACACAUGCAAGUCGAACGAAGUGGCGAACGGGUGAGUAACGCGUAAUCAACCUGCCCUUCAGAGGGGGACAACAGUUGGAAACGACUGCUAAUACCGCAUACUGUAGGAGGGGAUUGCGUCUGAUUAGCUAGUUGGGGGGGUAACGGCCCACCAAGGCGAUUAGCAGUAGGCCGGCUGAAGGGGUGGACGGGCACAUUGGGACUGGGACACGGCCCAGACUCCCACCGGAGGCAGCAGUGGGGAAUCUUCCGAAAUGGACGGAAGGCUGACGGAGCAACGCCGCGUGAGUGAUAACGGCCUUCGGGUUGUAAAGCUCUGUUAAUCGGGACGCGGUACCGGAAUAGAAAGCCACGGCUAACUACGUGCCAGCAGCCGCGGUAAUUC
rnacentral:rRNA from 1 species